rnacentral:rRNA from 1 species
UACGUAGGGGGCAAGCGUUGUCCGGAUUUAUUGGGCGUAAAGAGCGUGUAGGCGGCUUCACAGGUCCGCUGUGAAAACUCGAGGCUCAACCUCGAGCUGUCGGUGGAAACCAUCUGGCUAGAGUCCGGAAGAGGAGAGUGGAAUUCCUGGUGUAGCGGUGAAAUGCGCAGAUAUCAGGAAGAACACCCGUGGCUAAGGCGGCUCUCUAGUACGGUACUGACGCUGAGACGCGAAAGCGUGGGGAGCGAACAGG